AUUGAACGCUGGCGGCAGGCCUAACACAUGCAAGUCGAGCGAGCGGCGGACGGGUGAGUAAUAUGUGUGUACUGCCCGAUGGAGGGGGAUAACUACUGGAGACGGUAGCUAAUACUGCAUACUAUCGGAUAACCCAUAUGGGAUUAGCUAGUGGGUGAGGUAAUGGCCCACCUAGGCGACGAUCCCUAGCUGGUCUGAGAGGAUGAUCAGCCACACUGGAACUGAGACACGGCCCAGACUCCUACGGAGGCAGCAGUGGGGAAUAUUGCACAAUGGGCGCAAGCCUGAUGCAGCCAUGCCGCGUGUAUGAAGAAGGCCCUAGGGUUGUAAAGUACUUUCAGUCGGGAGGCGUUACCGACAGAAGAAGCACCGGCUAACUCCGUGCCAGCAGCCGCGGUAAUAC
rnacentral:rRNA from 1 species